CCUACGGGUGGCAGCAGUGAGGAAUAUUGGUCAAUGGGCGCGAGCCUGAACCAGCCAAGUAGCGUGAAGGAUGACUGCCCUACGGGUUGUAAACUUCUUUUAUAAAGGCAUAAAGUGAGGCACGUGUGCCUUUUUGUAUGUACUUUAUGAAUAAGGAUCGGCUAACUCCGUGCCAGCAGCCGCGGUAAUACGGAGGAUCCGAGCGUUCUCCGGAUUUUUUGUGCUUAAAGGGAGCGUAGAUGGGUUGUUAAGUCAGUUGUGAAAGUUUGCGGCUCAACCGUAAAAUUGGAAUUGAUACUGGCAGUCUUGAGUACAGUUGAGGUAGGCGGAAUUCGUGGUGUAGCGGUGAAAUGCUUAGAGAUCACGAAGAACUCCGAUUGCGAAGGCAGCUUACUAAACUGCCACUGACAUUGAUGCUCGAAAGUGUGGGUAUCAAACAGGAUUAGAUACCCUGGUAGUC
rnacentral:rRNA from 1 species